rnacentral:rRNA from 1 species
UAAUACGGAGGGUGCAAGCGUUGUCCGGAUUUAUUGGGUUUAAAGGGUGCGUAGGUGGUCCUGUAAGUCUGGUUUGAAAGCUGGUGGCUUAACCAUCAGAUGUGGCUGGAAACUGUGGGACUUGAAUGGGUUGGCGGUAGCUGGAACGGGUCAUGUAGCGGUGAAAUGCAUAGAUAUGACCCAGAACCCCGAUUGCGAAGGCAGGCUACUACGACUUGAUUGACACUGAGGCACGAGAGCAUGGGGAGCCAACAGGAUUAGAUACCCUGGUAGUCCAUGCCGUAAACGAUGAUUACUGGCUGUUUGUGAGAUAUCAUGAGUGGCUGAGCGAAAGCGUUAAGUAAUCCACCUGGGGAGUACGCCGGCAACGGUGAAACUUAAAGGAAUUGACGG